rnacentral:misc_RNA from 1 species
AAAGUCGUAACAAGGUUUCCGUAGGUGAACCUGCGGAAGGAUCAUUACAGAGGGAAAGUUGGUGGUUGGGGGGGUGAGGUUAUACCAUCCCUCCCUCCACACAUUCGCGCUUGUUUUGUUUCACAGAGUAAAUUACAUCAUAACCAUAUACAACUUUUAACAAUGGAUCUCUGGGCUCUU